rnacentral:rRNA from 1 species
UAUUGGGCGUAAAGAGCCGUGGGCGGUUUGUCGCGUCUGCUGUGAAAGCCCGGGGCUCAACCCCGGGUCUGCAGUGGGUACGGGCAGACUAGAGUGCAGUAGGGGAGACUGGAAUUCCUGGUGUAGCGGUGAAAUGCGCAGAUAUCAGGAGGAACACCGAUGGCGAAGGCAGGUCUCUGGGCUGUUACUGACGCUGAGGAGCGAAAGCAUGGGGAGCGAACAGGAUUAGAUACCCUGGUAGUCCAUGCCGUAAACGUUGGGCACUAGGUGUGGGGGACAUUCCACGUUCUCCGCGCCGUAGCUAACGCAUUAAGUGCCCCGCCUGGGGAGUACGGCCGCAAGGCUAAAACUCAAAGGAAUUGACGGGGGCCCGCACAAGCGGCGGAGCAUGCGGAUUAAUUCGAUGCAACGCGAAGAACCUUACCAAGGCUUGACAUUCACCGGACCGCCCCAGAGAUGGGGUUUCCCCUUCGGGGCCGGUGGACAGGUGGUGCAUGGUUGUCGUCAGCUCGUGUCGUGAGAUGUUGGGUUAAGUCCCGCAACGAGCGCAACCCUCGUUCUAUGUUGCCAGCACGUGAUGGUGGGGACUCAUAGGAGACUGCCGGGGUCAAAACUCNGGAGGAAGGUGGGGAUGACGUCAAAUCAUCAUGCCCCUUAUGUCUUGGGCUUCACGCAUGCUACAAUGGCCGGUACAAAGGGUUGCGAUACUGUGAGGUGGAGCUAAUCCCAAAAAGCCGGUCUCAGUUCGGAUUGAGGUCU